UGGUGGGUAGUUUGACUGGGGCGGUCUCCUCCUAAAGAGUAACGGAGGAGCACGAAGGUUGGCUAAUCCUGGUCGGACAUCAGGAGGUUAGUGCAAUGGCAUAAGCCAGCUUGACUGCGAGCGUGACGGCGCGAGCAGGUGCGAAAGCAGGUCAUAGUGAUCCGGUGGUUCUGAAUGGAAGGGCCAUCGCUCAACGGAUAAAAGGUACUCCGGGGAUAACAGGCUGAUACCGCCCAAGAGUUCAUAUCGACGGCGGUGUUUGGCACCUCGAUGUCGGCUCAUCACAUCCUGGGGCUGAAGUAGGUCCCAAGGGUAUGGCUGUUCGCCAUUUAAAGUGGUACGCGAGCUGGGUUUAGAACGUCGUGAGACAGUUCGGUCCCUAUCUGCCGUGGGCGCUGGAGAACUGAGGGGGGCUGCUCCUAGUACGAGAGGACCGGAGUGGACGCAUCACUGGUGUUCGGGUUGUCAUGCCAAUGGCACUGCCCGGUAGCUAAAUGCGGAAGAGAUAAGUGCUGAAAGCAUCUAAGCACGAAACUUGCCCCGAGAUGAGUUCUCCCUGACCCUUUAAGGGUCCUGAAGGAACGUUGAAGACGACGACGUUGAUAGGCCGGGUGUGUAAG
rnacentral:rRNA from 1 species